UGUGUUUGAGUCUUUAAGUCUUGAUGGCUUUGAAAAUCUAAGUCCAAUAUUCUCAAAGGCAGAAGCUUCGAUCCAGUCACAGACCAGCUCCCGGCUGUCGGGCUAGCGGGGUAGAUGCUAGAGGGAGUAAAGGGGUUGGAGAAAAAGAAGUCAAGCAGGAAUCAAAAGAUGAAAAUACAAGGCAGCACGGAUGGUGUUACAAAUUUAAUGCAGAAUUCAUACAUUCAAAAGCAUUUGGCCCACGGCCAAAGUUCAUUACACAGCCCCUAGUGGGUGGAACUAUUGGACUGACAAUAUAUUGCAGACAACGAAAAACAAAAACAGGGCCAGCAAAGGGGCGGCGGCCUCGUCUGUCACCCCGGCUGCAGCUCCUGAAGUGGUGGCUUCACCAUCGCCGGCUGCUCCCGAGGUGGUGGUGUCGUCUCCUCCGCGAGGGCUUUUGGCUCCGUCCCUGGCGGAGUCGGCGUAAGCUUCGCUGCUUGAGUCGGCGUCUUCCUUCUCAAGGGACGCCUCAUCGGAGCUGCCAUCGACAACAUAUGGUUGAAGACGGUGCAAGUCCUCAGGGACCAUGUUGCCAUCUUCAUCUCGCUCCAAGUUCAGCUCAUCCCAGGCGGCAUAUGAGGCGAUGUCGCUGGCCCUCAUCCGCAGCUCGUCCUCCAUGACCUGCAGCUCCCCCUCCGAGCCAUGGAGCUGAGCGACAAGCUUGCCCAAUUUCAGGUUCCGAUACCAGGACUUGGCCAAGCACAGCACCAUGUAGGCACCAGCACGCGCGGCUGAGGCGCGCUAGGCGUUAAGACGAUCGCCACCAGCUGCAAGCCAGCGGGAGAGCCGGGUCACCGACGCCGGCUCCACGGCUUCGGGCCACAAAGCCUUUAUCAUCAUUGUGCAGGCGCUCUGGAGUCGCUCCAGGGAUUCAGUCAAGACAAGCAGGCGGGCUCUGAGGCCCAUGCCAAUCUCCUCCACAGUCCAGCCGGUGGUGGCAUCCACCUCCUGCCCGGCAGCGCGACGCUCCUCGCGGCUCACCUCAACAGCCAUUUCAGCCGCUUCUCAUGUCUCACAUAAAAGUCCUGGGGCAGGGGGAGGGGUGUGAAGAAGAAUAAGAGGAGGGACCAACAAAGAAGAAAAAUUCAAGACAAAAUAAAAGAAGGGCUUACGGUCGAAAUGGGCAUCAGUCUGGUGGGCAUCCUUGACGGGACUUGGCUGCUUGAAGGCAUUCCUGAAUAUCUUUGACCUGUUUCUCGGCCUCCAGCAUCAAGUCUGUGCCAAAGAUGCGACUAUCUCCUGUUUGGGACCAGUCCAAAGGGGUAGGGCACUUUCUUCUGUAUAAUGCCUCAAACGGUGACAUCUUCAGACUUGUCUGAUAGCUAUUGUUGUAGGAGAAUUCCGCAUAGGGUAGGCUAUCUUCCCAUUUGGGUCCAUGGGCGAGGGCACAUGACCGAAGCAUGUCCUCCAAUAUUUGGUUCACUCUUUCUAUCUGUCCAUCAGUCUGAGGAUGGUAUGAUGUGCUGUGCUUCAGCAUGGUUCCCAAAGCUUGAUGUACAGAAUGUUGAGGUGAAUAGAGAGCCUCCAUCUGAGGUGAUAGACUUGGGUACUCCGUGAAGGCUUACUAUCCGGGACACGUAUAGCUGUGCCAGUUGGUUGGCAUUGAAAGUGGUCUUUACCGGGAUAAAGUGGGCUACAUUUGUGAGCAUAUCCACAAUGACCCAGAUAGCAUCAUUGCCCCUUGUCGACUUGGGUAGUCCGACAAUGAAGUCCAUGCAUAUGUCGUCCCACUUCCACUAGGGAACCGGUAAAAGCUGCAGUAACCCAGCGGGCUUUUGGUGUUCCGCCUUAACCUUGUUGCAGAUAUCACAGCAGGUGGCAUAAUAGGCUAUAUCCCUUCGCAUUCCUGACCACCAAAAUGUCUUUCUUAGAUCCUGGUACAUCCCUGUACCUCCCGGAUGGAUAGAAUAUGCGGAAUCAUGCGCUUCCCUGAGUACUUUCUAUCUCAGGCCAUCCUGGUCGGGAACGUAUAUCCGUUUCUCGAACCAUAAGAUGCCUUGGUCAUCUACUCGGAAAGAUUUGUCCUUUCCUUUCGGAAUCGACUCCUUGAUCUUCUUGAUUCCUUCAUCUGAUUCUUGAGCCUUCUUGAUCUCUUCUAUGAGGGUGGGAGUAAUUUCCAGUAUCUCCGGAGUAGUUGCACCUCAUAAUAUCAUGUUGAGGCUAGCGAAUUCCUCUUGUAACCUCGGGUGCAUGCUCCCCAUUAAUGCAUUCACAGUGAUUGGCUACCUACCGAGAGCGUCUGUGAUCACAUUGGCUUUUCCCAGAUGAUAAUUGAUUCCAUGGGCAUAGUCCUUGACUAGUUCAAGCCAUCGUUGUUGCCUGAGAUUCAGAUCAGGUUGGGUGAAAAUAUACUUGAGACUUUUGUGGUCUGUGUAUAUUUUGCACCGUUGUCCAAUAAGGUAAUGUCUCCAAAUUUUCAAGGCAUGAACGACGGCUGCUAGUUCCAAGUCAUGAGUGGGGUAGUUCUCCUCAUGCGAUCGUAGCUGUCGGGAUGCAUAUGCUACAACCCUUCCUUCCUGCAUCAGCACGCAGUCGAUUCCUUUUUGGGAAGCAUCACAGUAAAUAUCAAAACUCUUAUGGAUGUCUGGAAGGACUAGGACAGGUGAGGUCGUUAGUCUUGACUUUAGUUCCAGGAAACUGCUGUCGCAUUCUGUCGUCCAGACGAAUCUCUGAUUUUUCUUCAGCAGCUCCAUUAGUGGCUUACCUAUCUUGGAGAAGCCUUCUAUGAACAGUCGGUAGUAGCCUGCCAAUCCCAGGAAGCUACAAACUUCGGUCACCGUGGCUGGUGUCUUCCAGUUUAAUACUGUUGUUACCUUGCUGGGGUCGACAGCCACACCUUGUUCGGACAGGAUGUGUCCCAAAAAUCCCACCUCUUUUAGCCAAAACUCGCACUUACUGAACUUGUCAUAUAAUUGAUGGGAUCUCAGUCUUUCCAAGACAGCACGGAGGUGUAGCUUGUGCUCGUCUUCAUUCUUGGAAUAUAUCAAGAUAUCAUCAAUGAACAACACCACAAAUUUGUCUAGGAAAUCCAUGAAGACCUUAUUCAUCAUGCUCAUGAAAUAGGAUGGAGCAUUUGUCAGUCCAAAUGACAUGACCGUAAACUCAUAUAGGCCAUAUCGGGUGGUGAACGUUGUCUUGGAUAUAUCUUCUUUUCUGAUUUUUAGCUGAUGAUACCCCGUCCUGAGGUCAAUCUUGGAGAAUACUCAUGCUCCAUUUAACUAGUCGAAUAAAUCAUCAAUGCAGGGAAGCGGGUACUUAUUUUUAAUAGUGACCUCAUUCAGUUGGCAAUAGUCUAUGCACAUUCGCAAACUUCCAUCCUUCUUCUUGACAAAUAUUACUCGUGAUCCCCAUGGUGAGAUGCUUGUACGGAUAUAUCCUUUCUGCAAUAAUUCGUCCAACUGCUUCUUUAGCACUUCCAACUCCGGACCUGGCAUAUGGUAGUAUUUCUUGUAAAUAGGGGCAGUGCCGGGAACUAAUUCAAUUGUGAACUCCAAUUCCCGGUCACGUGGCAUUCCUGGUAAUUCCUCGCGGAAUACGUCCGGAAAUUAGCAUACCACCGGAAUCAAGUUCAUGCCCGUGACAUUAGCUUGGUAUGCCAUUCCUUUCCUUGACAUCAUCUUGUUGGCAAGAAAUUGGACGGUUUGUCCCGCCGGAUUAACCAGCGUCACGGUCUUGGUGGCACAGUUGAUACACAGUUGAUGGGGUGUCAACCAGUCCAUUCCCAGUAUCACAUCCAAUCCUGAGGAUUCGAUAGCAAUAAGUGCAGCUCGGAACUUAGCUCCUUGUAUCAGUAUUUCCAAAUCUCGGUAUAUGAGAUUUGUUCUGAGGACAGAACCAGGGGAUUGUACCACCAUGAUCUUUUCCAACAAUGAAGGGGAAAACUUGUGCAAGGUGGCAAAACUCCGUGAAAUAAAUGAGUGGGAAGCCCCGGAAUCAAAUAAACUAUAGUGGGUAUGUUGUUAACAGAGAACAUACCGAGGACGACUUCUGGAGCUUCGCUAGCUUCCUCGACGGAGACAUGGUAGACGCGGCCUUGGUUAUAGUUGGGAUUAUGGCCGCGUCCAAUGGUGUUGACCUGGGGCUCGACGUUAGAGGAUGGUUUCCCAUUGUUGGUGGGGCACUGCUUGGCAUAGUGUCCACUUUGGCCGCAAGUGAAGCAAGUGUUGUUGCGGCGGCAAUCCUCUAGUACUGGCUGUUUGUCGAAGGUCUUGCUCUGGCUCACUGUCUUGUUGGUAUUGUUUCUAUUGUUCUAGGUAGGCUUGUAUACGGUUGUGUUUGGUUGCCAGGUAUGUGGAUUCUGUGCAAUCUGUUCCUUGUUGUCCUUCUUGGGUUCAAACUUCCUCUUGCGGUCAUCAUACCCGGUCUUAUGCACUUGUUCGGCUAUGAAAGCCUUGUUCACCAGAGUCUGAAAGUCUGGAAAAUCCAGCAUACAGAGCUGACAACAGAGGGUAUGAUUCAGACCUCCUAGGAAGCAGUCUAUCUUCCUUUCCUCGGUGGAUAUGUCAUGGGUAGAGUAUCAUGCCAGAUUGUUGAACUUGUUCAGAUACUCGGCUACUGACAUACCUCCUUGUGUAAGAGCAAGGAAUUCUCUUUGCUUCACCUUCAUUAUGCCAGUAGGGAUAUGGUAUUUCCGGGAUGCUUCAUUGAAUCUUUCCCUAGUAAUCUCUUCUCCACAUGGCCAUGUUACCUUUUUGUUAUCCCACCAUAUAGUUGUUGGCCCUUCUAAGGAGUGAGUGGCAAAAGGGACCCUAUCUGCUUCAUCCAACGGGCUAUGUCUAGUUUCUUCUCCAUAGUCCUUACCAAGUCAUCGGCUUCUAUUGGAUCCACGGCUUGGCCAAAGUUGGGUGGCUUAGUGCGCUGGAAGUCUGACAACUUGGAACGUGACCCGUUGUUGUUAUUUUGUCCUACCAUGGCCUGCAUGCUUCUCAGAAAUUCCAUAAGAUCCAGGUUCCUCUUUUCCUCAAACAUCCUCAUGAUCUGAUCAGUAGUCGGUACCUGGGGUGGUGGAGGUGGUAGGUCUUCCGGUUGUUGACCUGCCUGUCUGGCGGAUCGACGGAUAGGGAUUCCAUUGCCUCUUUGGCUACAGCUUCUCUUCAUCCUAAAUUGUUGUUCCCAUUGCAAAAUACCGAAUCAAUGAGCAACAUCCAUAAGGGAAAGCAUGGUUACAAAACACCAGAAAAGAGUUCAGGAGAAAAGCGAAUAAGCAAACAACAUAACUAUACAAUACGACCCAACAUUAUUCAUGGCAAGCUAGUAGGGGAAAUAUCAUGACUAGACUGCUCAUAGGGCAGUUGACAUAUGUAAACAUGCAUGCUCAGCAAGUCCAACGUCGACUCUAGUGGCGCGGAUGGCACGAACACUGAUAGACUGCAGACUCCUCGUCAUUUGAUCCUGAGUCAGAGUCGGAACUAAUGAUGUUGAUCUCAUCUUCCGAACCGAAGGAAACACGACGACGCUAAUGGGACGGUCCUGCUUCCGAGGAAGAAGGAGCACGACGCCUCAGCAUCGGAGCAGUAGGAGUGGCUAGGAGUGAGGCCCACUCAGAAGGAGUCUCGCCGCGGCUGCCAGACGAAGUGCCUGGCGGCACUGAAGAGCUAGCUGGAAUAUCAAAUCCAGGUGGGGGUGGAACUGGUGGUGAAUAUGGGGGUAGAACAGCAGACUGGGGUGGAGGUGGCACAGUAGUUGCGACAACAAGUGCCGCCUAGAGACGGGACAACUCCUCUGCCAGGGAUACAAUCAUGCGAGAGCUGGCGUUCACGUAGCGAGACAGCACAUCACUCGCACGGUCACAUGUCGGGUCUACAGGACCAAAAUGACUCGCCCUGUCGAAGGCGACAGGGUGGGAUAGUGGAAGAAACCUGGAUGAGUCUGCAUCUCGACCUCGUGGAAGCGCAAGUCAGUGAGAGCCUCCACAACAACAAACUGGAUUGCCAACUUCGGAGUAGAAGCCGUUCCGCCCUUAGUAGAGAGAGAGUAGUUGCCAAUAUCCGAGCUCGCAACAAAGUAAGCCUAUGCAUGCUACUCAUACACGGACCCGGCAAGCUGCUCCCAAAACACCUGGUACACUGGUUCUUCGUCGUGAGGGUACAAUCGAAACUAGAUGUUCCGGAGCAGUGCUGGGAAGGAGGACGGUGCAGGCUCAUACUGGAAAUGAUAUGGGACUGGUGCCAUCUACACUCACAAAGCCAAAGGUUAGUAAAACAAUGAAUCAUGAUGCAUGUCAUGCAGCAAUCAAAAUAAAACAAGAAAAUGCAUACUCAAGACCCUAUACUACUCGUCGUGCUAACGCCGCUAACUAGGGUGUCCUACACUCAGCGUGGCUCUGAUACCAAGCAUUGUAGCACCCCGGCUCAGAGAACCGGAUUACCAUUUUUUCCAACCCAGAGAUCAUGUCUUCUGGAAACACUCAACAACUUGGAACAAAACUGAACUGACUUUAUUGAUAGCAUAAGGUUACAAGUACAUAUUUUACAAGGAUAGCGAGGCCAAAGGCACCCUUGGUGCUGCAAUAGUAUCUACAUUAUUUAUGAAACAUAGUGGGGCCUCGAGACUACUAAGUACUUCUACGGCGUAGCGGAACAUAGCGGCAACUCCAUCCACAGGGACACUGUUGUGGACACUUCCUAGUACGGACCAUCAGGACCUCCGUCCUCGGCUUCUCCUGCAUCCAGCAUGAUAGGCCAGGUGAAUACUUGGAAUAUACUCGCAAGCCCACAACAACCAAGUAAUGCAGCAAACAAUAGCAUGGCAACCAAUAUAGUAAGAUAUUAAGCAAGAUCACUGAUUGUACCAAUUAACCACUUACUCAUGCCUGGGUUAUCUCACGACACCAGAAUAUUCAUCGAACAUCUCUAAUCCUUUGAAGAGUUCUUCCAUCAUUACUAACACAGAUAUGGUUGACCAUCUACUGAGGUCUGGUCAGGCUGUCCAAUACCGUGGACUCGGCUAUUCGAAUAGGUUUGACACUCUGUAGAGGUUGCACAUUUUACCCACAUCAUGGAGCACUGACCUCGUGAUCCCAUUCGGGUGGACCAGCAUUGCUCCAACGAAACCUGCCUGACCCGUGACUCUCCCAUCGUACCAUCGUCAAUCAUCCUCCCCCGGAGUCCUGCCCUGGGUGGCCAUGUAUCCGCAUGACACCUAUCACCGUCGUGGCAAACUAAACUGUCCCAAUGGGGGUUGGGCCCAAACAACUCAACUGGGCUCAUAGGAUUAGCACCGCCUACCUCAUCAGGGUAGCACGCGUGCAUAACCCUCCCUCUUUGGAGGUACCGGUGAAAGGUCACACGAUUAGCUCAAGAAACGGUCGCCCCAUACCGGCAAAAUGUGGUUGCACGGCUAAGCCCGGACAGGUGACUCUAGAUCAACAACUAAGUUAUUGCAAAUAUAGUGAUUUAUAACAGUAAGCAAUUAUUUUGGACUUAGGAAUAAAAAGUUAUAAAGGGUCAAAGUUACUAGUCAAAUCUGAAAAAUAAAUAAAAGAAACAAAAUCCUAACAGGGCCACGUGGAAGGCAUAAAGUGGAGGGGCGUCUCCACUUACCGCUUCGAGCGUGCGGGGCUGAGCCGUUGUCGGGUGGGGCCCUUCGGUUUAAAAGAGAGAAAGAGGCGAGGCAGCUCUCUGGCGAUGGUCGCCGGCGAUAGAGACGACGGCGAUGCCCAGAGAUAGGGGGAAUGGGUCGGCUAGUCUGCGACGAGCACGCACGUACCCGCAGCAUGAUGAGAGAUGGCCGGACGGCGUCGUCCCCUUCCUCUCUGGCGACGGCGGCUUCGGGUGGUCAUCGAAGACGAUGAUUCCGGCGAUGAUUGGCUUGGGCGGGGGGUCGAGGAGCACCAGGGGGUGCCCUGAGCUCAAGGGUGGGGUCAGUUGGGUUGUGGGGAGAGGGGUUCAUGCAGGCAACGGGAGGCUGCAGGCGGAGGAGCUCCGGUGAGACUCGAGGCCAGAGGGCCUCUUGGCCGUGGCUCACUCCUCGGGAGGCCGGUUGGAGAUAGAUGGAGAUGGUUGGCGUUGAAGAGGUCGGGCCAGCCUUUAUAUAUGUCGGCGACGAGCUCGGCCGAUCUCUCCCGAAGCGGCAAGGAUAAGCACGGCUACAGGACUUGGGGAGGAGAGCUGGCCAUCGCGGAGCGCUUUGAGGUAAUGGAGGAGGGCAGAGAGCCGAUAGGAUGCAUCCCGAGCCAUUAAGAGCUCGCGGACGACAACAGUGGACGGAGCCAACUGUUCGGUCCGUGGCGGAGCUUGGCUGGGAGUCGCGGCGGCCUUCUCCUGCAACCGGGAGGCUUCGGGAGGCGCCACGCGGCUGCCAAGGACAUCGUCGACACCAAGGACAGGGGGCAGGAGGCCAUGUAGGCCUGGAAACCUUGUCCAUUGCGUCGACUAGCCUCCAAUUAGUCACCAUCUACCAGUGGUUGGACCAGUCUCACUCUCCUGUGAAGUGUAGAUUCAACUACAGCUUCUGCCUGCAGACUUGGGGAGCUUCUAGAGAUGAAUUGGGAAAGGGAUGGAUCAAGGUGACAUGUGUGGGUUUAUCAGCAUAGGAAAGAGUAUAAAUCGGGCAAAGUUUGAAAGGGUUUGAAUAAGAAUUGAAUAUAGUUCCUUUGAAAACCAUCUUUCUGGACCACAAUGGAAAUGAGCUUGGGGCACUCACAUGCAAGCUCUGGUGAACGUGAAACUUGGUGGAGGAGUGUUAUUUGGUAGUGCAUACAUGCCCAAAAAAUUAUAGAUCAUUUGGGAACCCCUAGCUAGCACUUCCUUCACAAAGGUUCAGAUUUAACAGGAACUUAACAGAGUUUUCUUGCUCAAAAUUUGUAUUGGACCAUGAGAUGUUUUUGCAUAUUUGGGCUAAAUAGGAUCCCUAGGAUCUGGAGAAAUUUAUUGGGAAUUUUCUAGAAUAGGAAAAAUAGGGUUGCUUCCGAAUGGGAAAAUUCUGGUCAAAAAAGAAAUAAUUAUUCUGGCCAAAAUUUACAUUGGGCAAGGAAAUGUUUUUGGAGAUUUUGGAAUCAUACGGUGACGAGAAGAUGAGGAAAAAGUUUGGGGGCUUAUAGCUCAUACAAACUAUAGCUUGCUCCACGACCCAUGGUGAUGCCAUAAUUCCCCAAAAUAAGAAAAGAAUUAUUUGAAAAAUUAAAUAUUGAAAAUUAAUCCAAGAAAGGUUUGGGCAAGAGGAGGAGGGUUUUGGGUUACUAGGGAAAAGAAAUUAGAGACUCACAAUCCAACUUGUUUGAAAGAAUUUGAAAAUCCACCAAUUUGCAAGUAGAACUCCAAAAUAUUUCGAAAGAAAAAGUUUGAAAAAUCAGGGUGUUAUAUGGGGCGUGCGACGCCCACGCUCCCGUAAUGGUUGGUGGCCAGGGCUCGCCUAUAAAUUUUCCCAGCCCCCUGCGGGGGGCACCGCAACCUCGAGCUCCUUCUCCGCAUUAUCCAUCUGCCGCGAGGAGACUUCUUCCCUUCCUUCGCUCUUCGUCUUCAUGGCGUCCCCCAGAGAUGGCUCUGGCCGGGGAAAGCAUGCGGCGCCUCCUGCACCUUCGUCCGCCCCAGGAGGCUGAGGCGGAGGGCCUUCAGGGCCUACGCACGUCCGCCACCGCUGGGUGAUGGCUGACGAGUAAGUCCUUCAUAGCGUUUCCUUUGCUUGGUGCUUCAUUUGCUUCCCCAAGGUUGGUCUUCUUCAGUGCGCCCUCCUCCAAGAAGCGAAAGCUCGGCGAGCUCCAAGAGGAGGUGAAAGAGCUUCGAGGUCGGCUUGAGGGCGCCCAGGCCGUUCUCAAUGCUGCUCGCCAAGGCGAGACGGAGGCCAACGAGGAGCUAGCAUCGCUGCAGCAGCAAUUCCGGGAGGCGGCGGACGUCGUGCAGGUCGCUCAAGACGAGGCGUCGUACGCCCAGCUGAUGGCGUCCCAGCGCACCCUGCAGUUUGCCGGCAUCGCCGACCGGGCGAGUGUCGUGACAGGCCGGUUUCCGGGGAGGGCACCGACACUCCCUAACGCGAUGAGCGACGGGGGCUACCUCGUGUUCUUCUAGGAGGUCGUGGAGGGUCUGGAGGUUGGCGUCCACCGUGUGGAGGAGGACAGCGCGUCCAGCGCGCGCGAGCUCCUAGGCCUUGCCCUGACGCUCGUCUUCUCCAACGUGCACCGCCUCGCUCCGGAGCUCGACCUCCGGGCGUCGUCGAACUGGUGCCUGUUGAGUCUCGCCGUCUUCUCCGGGAUGAGGUCCACCCGCAUGUGGACGCCAUGGUCGGGCGGUACGUCCAGGCUCCCACCUCGAGCGAGGAGGGUAGUCCGGACGCCGGGUCAGCCGGAGUCGUGGGUGAUGUCAGCAACCCGUCCCCUUAGUGUCCCCAACUUCUGUUUGCCUGCUCCUGUAACAGUGGACCAAGAACUCUGCCCUACCGGGCGUUAAGCUUUUGCUGUUAUUACCUUUGGUGCUCUCCUCUUUUCUUUUGCUCCUCAGGAUGUUGGUGGUCAUUGUAGCUAGGCUGCAAAGCUUAGGACCCGUUGCUGCGGCUGCCGUGGCUUGGGACAACAAGGGAAGCACGACCUUUCGAGAGUUCUGCCUUCCCGAGGCACCUCUCGGGCCGCCGCGUGCUUUGGGGUUAGACUCGCUCCUUGCUGCCGUCGAAUCCUUAGGCACUGCUUCCUUCGUUAGUGCGCAUGUUUUAAUUCACUGUUGGUUUGUCGUAAAGCGAGAUGGUCCAGGUGAGGGCAUGUGAGACACUUAGCUUGCGUAUUUGCGUCGGUCCCUCGCGUACUUCGUCUGGUGCAGGUCCUAUUUUGUAAGCGGAAUGAGGUGAAGACCCUUUCGGCACUCUAUGUCUGCAGGUCCCAGUCCCGCACAUUUCCCUGCCUCCGUGAGGUUCAACCCGUUACCAAGGUUGUCGCUUACGCGGCAAAGCCCCAGCACCCUGGGUGGCGGGUGGCUUUGCGACCAGUAAGGCUGCUGAGUCGCACUCCUCAGGAGCCCCCUUUGACACUCAAGCCACUCUGCGUCGUCAUGCCCCGGCCUUGACGGCCAGUAAGGCUCCUGAGGCGCGCCCAGGAACCCCCCCCCCUUUCUGGCGCCCGAGCGAUUCCGCACUUUGUUCCUUAGGUCAUCGCCCCAGGGGGCUUGUAGCCUCCCGAGACUCUUUGUGGUGGUAUAAAGUUUGGGUCCGGACCCCCCAGCGGGGAUUGACCACUGAAAAUUUUUGCCCCUGAGGCGGCAAGUCGUUGGCAUUCAUGCUCCUUGACUCCUAGGGGUGGCAAGGAACGGUUAUCUCCAAACACGUCCUCCAGACGGGAGGUUUCAAAGCCAGUGAAAUAAAAACACCAGAGAAAGUCCCCCUUUUUAUUUUUCAAACGUCGGGCAUUGAGAGUGGAAAAAACCAACUUAAGAAAUCAGCCAGUUCAAACUCAGCGGAAGACAGUUCGAAUCCAAGAGAAAGCAAGCAAGUGUCGUGUCCGGCAUUUAAAGCUCGCAUAGUCCUUCGCAGACUAUAUGGGUUUCCUUGCCAGCUGCGAGCAUGGUCAUUGGCAGUCCAUGAUGAUUGCCUUCGUCUUUGUACCCAGCGCGGAGCAUAGGUCUUCCACUAGGCGUGGGGUGGACCCCUUCCACGUCCUCGGUGGGGUCCUGGGCAUAUACAGCCUCGGCUCGUUAUUACGUGAGAGUCUCACGGUGGGGGUGUAUAUGGGAGGUCGCGAGGACGCUUUGGCCUCGCGAGUGUCCCUACCCCCGAGGCAUUGGGGCCUGAGCUUCUACGGUCAUUGGUGGACUGUGUUGUACCCAGCGCGGAGCAUAGAUCUUCCACUAGGUAUGGGGUGGACCCCUUCCGCGUCCUCGGGGGGGCCUGUCGUAUACAACCUCGGCUCGUUAUUACGUGAGAGUGUCACGGGAUGAAGUAGGUUCCGGAAGGACUGAAGAACAAUGCAGAGGUGCGACAGGUUGAUGUUGGUCUUGCGUGCUCCUUCCCGGGAAGCCUAUUAAGGGCUUUUUAUGACUCUACGUUGAUAGGUCCCAGUCCCGCACAUUUCCCGACCGUCGUUGCGUGGGACCGAGUGAACGGAUGUAGCUACGGGGUCGGGCCCUACCUCCCCUGACACCGAUCAGAUCAAGGACGCUGUGAAGGGCGGCAGGUGGCCUUAUGACCGGUAAAGCUCCGAAGGCACGAUGCUCAGGAGCCCCCUUCUAACGUCCGAGUGGCUCUACAUCGCUAGGAUCUAGUCCUGCACAUUUCCCGACCGCCGUUGCAUGUGACCGAGUGAACGGAUGUAGCCACGGGGUCAGGCCCUACCUCCCUCAAUGACGUAUUGAUCAAAGACGCUGUGAAGGGUGGUAGGUGGCCUUGCGACCGGUAAGGCCCCUAAAGCGACAUGCUCCGGAGCCCCCUUUUUGACGUUCAAGUGGCUCUGCGUCGCGAGGACCCGAUCCCGCACAUUUCCCGACCGCCGCUGCUUGCGACCGAAUGAACGAUCUUAGCCACGGGGUCAGGCCCUACCACCCCUGAUAAUGACCGGAUCACCAAGGAGGAUAUAAAGGGCGGCAGGUGGCCUUGUGACCGGUAAGGCUCCUCGAGCACCAUGCUCUAGAGUCCCCUUGGACGCUCAAGCGACUCUGAUUUUAUGUUGUCGACCAUGGCCAUGAGGGGCCGUGGGGCUCCCCAAUUCCCGCCAUGAAGGUGGAUCGCCCAAGGACUCAAUCAAGGCAGCGUGUCAGGUCGCCAAGUAGAUGCAAUGGAAAUUGUAAAAUAUAUGACUUGGAGGAGUACGCCCCGAGCAGUUGAAGUCCAUGCGGUCAGCACGCACUUCUUAAGGCAAUAAAUCAAAAAAAUUACCUCGAGUAGCCCCCUUGCGCUUGAGGAGCACCUCGCGAGGCCUGGCCCCCGACGCCCAUGCGUGCAUCGUGGUCGUUGCGGGUGAUCCGUGCCGCUUGCGUCUCGUGCUGUAUUCCAGUCAUCCUCUAGAGGCCCAUGAGUUUGGCCUCACGUAUUCUUCCGCAGGGAGGGUGGCUAGUGUCGCGCCCCUCGGCUUGAGGGCGCCCCCUGCCCAGGCCUCUUGGGCCUGGCUCAAGGUGGAGCCCCCAAACACCCCUCACUCCUAAGGAGGAUAGGCGUCCUGGGGGGACGCCUGAAGCUCUUCCUCGUCGGGAGGGUCAGGUAGCGCCGCAUACUCUGGCACAUACAGCUCCAUGUAGGCGCUUGCCCGUCCCCCGCGGCCAGCCAUCAGCACGAUGAUGGCGGUCCCUCUCGGCGGUGGAGUGGGAACCCCCCGGUCGUGCUACUCGAAGAUCUUCCUGCGAUAAGCCUCCGCAUGAAGUCACUUGUUCCUGUUGCCGCCGUUGGCUGGUCCUGGCGCUGCCGGUGCUGACUCCCUCCUUGAUGUCCUAUCGUGUCUCCGCUAUCGUAGUUCAUCUACGCCAUCGCCUACGCCCUCUGCUAGCUGUUCCGGAUGGAGCGCUCCCGUCGGGCCGCCCCGGGCUGUCGAGGGCCGACUUGGUCUCGGUGAUGCAUGCCAGCGUGUGCGUUGGUCGUCCCAUCGUUCUCCUCGCGUCCCUGGUGGUUGUCGACGUGGUGCGCUUCAGGGGCGGUCGCUGGGGUCUGGAGAAGAUGGAGGGCCGUGCGAAGCGCGUCUCUCUCGGCCCCGCCCAGAGUGGCCAGGGCCUCGAAGCUUGCAGGCUCCAUGGCCGGCACGCGGUGCGAACCCCGGCGCCCGACGCCUGUGGCCUUGAGGAUGCACUAGGCUGGAUGGUCUUCUCGGCGAUGGCGAUUAGGUCCAUGAUGUGAUCCGCCCAUGCGUCAAAGCCCCGUGGUGUCGGUUGUUGGUGGAGCAUCUCUCUUGCCAUCCCUAACGCGUCGUGUGCACUGAGGUCUCCCAAGUUGAUGCGGCACACUACGGGUGCCUGGGCCGCCGCCUAGCCCCCGUGUGUUAGAGUGGCACGGGUGGUCGUCACGGUGGAGACGAUGUUGAUGGCCUAGUAUGAGCCAGCUGGUCCCGCAACGCCGGCAUGCGAGCUUCCAGCCGCUGUCACGUGGCGGUCGGAGACCAACUCGACGAGGCUCGAAGAGGCUGGUUGGUCGCCGGCCAUCGGUGCAGCACCCUGGGAAGGAGGAAGCUAGGAGAAAGGCUUCACACUCCCCCUACAUGGCACGCCAAAUGUCAGAUUUCAGGCUCCGCAGAACCCUAAGGAUUCAAACACAGGGGCAUGUGCGGCGAUCUCUCUCGGCUCGACCUUACCAAGCUCGCUAGUCGAUGGAAAUGGCGAAGAACACAAUCGAUGGUGAGGGGAACACAGAACACAACAGUUUACCCAGGUUCGGGCCGUUGUGAAGCGUAAAACCCUACUCCUGCUUUUGGUGGAUUAGCUCUCACGAAGGUUGGUGGAUGAACUAGUACAGUGCUCUCGAGCCUCUGGAGGCCCAAUGGCUAGGUGUGUUCCUCUAGGGUUUCGAUGAUCCGCCCCUUUGCCAAGUAUCCUACCCUCUCCAUUUAUAGUGGAGGCCCGUGUCCUCUUCCCUUAUCGUAGGCGGGAAGGGAUCCCACAAUGCCCAGUUUCGGUGGGAGACAAGGGAACAUGCUUCCCGUGCCAAAAGUGGUCUUCGCCUGCAAAGCAACUGCCAACGCCGCAGAGGUGGGAGCAAGGAUGACGAUCGUCCUGCCGGCGGGAGGUCGUGGUCUUGUUGCGUCGGAAGGGAAACCUUUGGAAGAUGCCUUUGGGACCCUGAUACGUUCCUUCCUCUUUUGCACCAAAGGGGAAACUACCCUGUCCUUCCAUCUGCUGCUCGCCUGUGCUUCCAUGGCGGCAUCCUUGACUCCUGAGGCCCAGUCUUGCCGUGAAAUAUCCGUCGCUUCGGAGGGGUCCUGAGGAGGCCCCCCGUGGGUCUUGACGUCGCUCCUCCUCGCGAGGCUUGGCCCCUCGCGAUGGCCUUGUUCAGGGUGGUGUUGUUCCUUGUCAAUCUUGCAUUGAUGAAGUGGGCCAGCCCUGGGCCGCAGGCAGGUAAGUCUGGGUACCCCCAUUCCUAGAACGCCGACAGGCUCCACCCACGGAGGGUCCACAAAGAAGUGGCCUUGUCUAUCCUACCAUGGCUUACGUCCACGGAGGACUAGGCUUACUCACGGUAGAUCUUCAUGAAGUAGGUGAUCUCCUUGCCCUUACAAAUAUCUUGGUUCAAUUCCACAACACGAAGUAGGAGGCUCCCAAGCGACACCUAACCAAUCUAGGAGGCACCAGCCUCCAAAUGUUAAUAGAUGGGGUAGAUCAGUGAACUCCUUGCUCUUGUGCUUCUAAAGAUAGUGUCCUCAACACAAAUCACUCUCUCACAGAAUAUGAAUGGGUAGGGGAGGUUGAUGUGGUGGAAAGCAGUUUGGGGAUUGGGAUAUCUUGGUCUCAACAAAUGACUAGGUGGUUCUCUCUCAAAAAAUGGAUCUGGAAAUGAAGUGUGUGUUCUAAGUGCUUCUCCCACGAAUGAGAGGUGGGUGAAGGGGUAUAUAUAGGCAGCAUCGAACAUCCAACCGUUAGACACAAAAGUGCAAACCCGGUGACACCAAAGUGGACAACUCGGUGAGACCAAUAUAUAGAACUCGGUGGCACCGAAAAGGUGACUAACGGUGAGAUGACCAAACACGGUGGCACCGAUACUCAAACUCAAAAAUUCUGAUUUUGUGUAUCUUGGCAACAGAAUGUUGGUCACACUAAACUCGGUAGCACCGAUUGUUAGAGCAUAUAUCUCCAUAUGUGGUUUUGGUAAUUGAUGACAAUUCCUAUGGACUAAUGGUUGCCUUAAGUUAUAUUUAUAGGAUUUGUCCAUAGGCACUUCUUGAAGUCCAUCUGUUGGGUUCAAUGAGUUUAUAUGAUGACCAAGGUGGUAUCCAAGGUAUUCUCCAAAGAAUGGACAUAGAGACACAAGGUUGAUCAAGAUCGUCAGGCAAGGAGUAAUUCAAGAUGAUCAACACACAAAGAGUACAAGAUGUACUGAGAAGGAUGAAGUGAUCCCAUGGUAUGGUAAGAAUUGUCCAUUACGUAUUUGUGUACUAACCCAUGGUAUUCGUGAGAGUUCUAUGUGGGGUUAGGUGUGUUUCCAUGCCCUUGCGUCAAGAGGAAGAUUUCAUACAACCCAUGGAGGAUGACGUCAAGUGGUGGAGGAUGGUGGCAAUGGAUUUGUGAAGAUAUGCUGAACAGCGGCUCACCCAUAGUGUGUAUGGGGGAGCAAUCGCCUAGUCUUUAUCAAGCCAACGCAAGCAAGAAAGGUGGUCCAUCUUGAGGAAGCCAAGAUCAUCGUCAUCUAUCUCAAGAGGACGAGGUGCAAGGUAUAGGUUUUCCCUCGAUAGGUUUUCUGUUUUAGGAUAGAUUGUCGUACUGUCAAGGGGGGCUCUCAAGUGAGUAGCUUGAUCGUAUCAUUCAUUGAGAGCUCAAACCAUUUGCAUCCUUGCAUCAUACUUCUGGGUUCUUGUUUGGUAUUUCUCUUUGUGAGUUUUAGAUCUUAUGGUCAUCUUCAUGACACGCUCGAGUUCAUCGAAAACGGAGUCCAUAUGCAUCUUCUAUGAUGUUUUCAAUGUUGGGAAUUUUACCGGUCUUAUUCGAAGAAGGGUUCUCACCAUUUUCUUAUGGGAAUUUUCUCACUUGCUUCUUAUUGAUAUUUAUAUCAAUAUUUUGUUAGCCCAUGUUGUUAGCUUUCCAACAAACCUGGUUUCAUUCAAUUCGGAGUCCGUAUGAGAAAGUUACAGUAGAUUUAGUAUCCAGCGAUAGUACCGCUCCUCGUGCCAGCGGUAGUACCGCCCCCGGAGCGGUAGUAAUUUUUUACUACCGCUCCCUAGAGGUAGUACCGCUCCGUCGAACUGUUUUUUGCAUACUUUUUGGCCUCAGCAUGGUUGGUGAACCUAUCGAGCGGUAGUACCGCUCCAUGAGCGGUAGUACCGCUCUGUACGGGCUGUGAGGCUUAACGGUUGGAUUUUUCCCCACCUAUAAAAGGGGGUCUUCUUCCCCAUUGAACCUUAUCUCUUUAGCUCGUGUUCUUCCCCCAUUGUUGACCUUAUUCAAGCUUGCUAACUCUCAAUCCCUCCAAUGAUUCUUGCUAGUUCUUGAGGGAAAAGAGAGAGGAGAUUUAGAUCCACAUUUCCACCAAUCACUUUCUCCUCUAAGUGAGGGGAACCCAUUGGUUCUAGAUCUUGGAGUUCUUCGUGUUCUUCUUCAUUCUUCCUCUCAUUUUCCUCCCUAGCAUUAGUUGCUUUGGUGGGAUUUGGGAGAGAGGGAUUUGGGCACUCUGUGUUCCCUUGCCAUUGCAUUUGGUGCAUCGGUUUGAGUUCUCCACGGUGAUACGUGGAAGUGAGAAGUUGAGAAGCUUAUUACCUUUGGGUACUUGGUACCCCUAGAAGCUUGGUGGUGCCUUGGAGCUCAAUCAUUGUGGUGUAAAGCUCCGGGCAAGCGUCGGGGUCUCCAAUUAAGUUGUGGAUAUUGCCCCGAGAAUUUGUGGUCACCUCGAAGCCAUAUGCCAUUGUGGUGAAGCUUCGUGGUGUUGUUGGGAGCCUCCAAUUAAGUUGUGGAGAUUGCCUCAACCUUGUUUGUACGGGUUCGGUGACCGCCCUCAAUGGUCCCUUAGUGGAAUCACGGCAUCUUGCAUUGUGCGAGGGCGUGCGGAGAUUACGUUGGCCUUAGUGGCAUCUUGGGGAGCAUGGUACCUCCACACCGCUCCAACGAAGAUUAGCAUCCGCAAGGGUGUGAACUUCGGGAUACAUCAUCGUCUCCAUGUGCCUCAGUUAUCUCUUACCCGAACCCUUUACUUAUGCACNCAAGCCUAAAUCGUAAUUGUUUUAAAGCGCCGAUUCAACCCCCCCCCCCUCUAGGCGACAUCCACGUCCUUUCAAUUGGUAUCAGAGCUAGGUCUCUCUUUAUUAGUUUUAACCACCUAGAGAGUAAGGAUGUCGACUAGGGGUGUAGGAUUCACUAACACUCUUAGUUUCCAUGGCACAAAUUUUGAUGUUUGGGUAACUCACAUGCUUAAUCACUUUCGGGUCUUGGACCCAAAUUUAGAGCGAAUUGUAGAUAUGGGUUUUUCUCCUCCAAAGGAUUCUCAAAAUAUAUCUUUAGAGGAUGAGAAAAACUCUUAUCUCAAUGCUCAAGCUUCUAAUGUUCUUUUUGAUGCUUUGAGCAAUGUAGUUAUAUUUCAACUCAUGCCAUUCCGGGAUGCUCAUGAGUUGUGGACAAAGCUUCAAGAUAAAUAUGGUAUAUACAAGAUUAGUGGGAAUGAUUGUUCUCUCUCCACCUCCGGUCGUGUGGUCUUCUCAACUUCAUCUACUUCACCUACAUGUGGAUUUCCACAAGGUAAUGAUAUGGUGAGUACUGGUGAUCAUUGCAACGAUGAUAGUGGGUUUAUUGUUGAUGAUCCUUCAUCACUAUAUUAUUGCAAUGCUUCAUCUUUUGGCAUUAACACUUCGAGCACUCUAAAUGUUUUACAUGCUUGUGUUGAUAGUCCUUGCAUAUCAUGUAAAAACUGCUUGACUAAAUCUCAUGAUGAUAUGCUUCCUAUAUCUUGUUGCCAUGAUAAAAAUGUAUAUAUUUCCUCGAGUUAUUGUGCUAACAAUGUACAGGAAAUUCAUCACUCCAUGGAACAAGAUGUGGCCUUGAAUGAUGUUUCAAGGGAUCCUACAUCAUCAUCUAUUGUGACUCAGUUUUGCCUUAUGGCUAAGGCUUCAAAGGUAUCUCCUACUUUGAAUCCCAAUAUAUCUCAUGAUGAUGAUGUUGAUGAUAAUGGGGAUGAGAAUAAUGAUGAAGAGAGUGAUAAUAUUGCAUCCUUAAAAAUUAAGGGUGAAAUGAUUUUUAAAUAUCUUUAUAAGAAUAAACUUGCUUGCUCCAACAUCUUGGAAAUCAUGUCUAUUGCCACUGAGGGCAAGAAAUACAUUGAGGAGUUGGAAGCUCAUCUCGAGGAGCAUGAGGCCACCAUUGAGAAAAUGGAAGGUCAUGAGCGUGAAUACGCUAACGAGAUCACGGAGCUAUCUCAAGCUCUUGAAAAUGAACAAACCACCAACGAAUCUCUUGAGGAAACCUUUGCUAUAGAACUAUCUAGAUUAAAGGAAUCGCAUGAUAGAGCUCUCGAGGUGGCUAAUGAUUUUAGAACUAAAAACGAUAAGCUUGAAGUUGCACAUGCUAAACUCGUUGAGUACUAUGAGCACCUCGAAAAUGGCUCAAAGGCUAUUAAGAGUUCGCUCAUCGAACUCACCGAGUCGCAUGCUCAACUUGAAGCUUCAUAUGCUAAAGAGCUUGUCAAGUUGCUUUCUCCUCUUAUUGUUAAUAAUGAUGCUUGUGCUACUAAUUCUACUUCUUGUGAAGCAUCCAUUUUAAAGGAGAAUGUUGAGGUAAGGGCUCAACUCGAGUUGCUAUCUAGCAAUUAUGGGAAAUUUGAAGAAAGUCAUGUAAUGCUCACAAGCUCUCAUGUUGAUCUUCUAGUAUCCCAUAAUGUGCUAAAAUUAGCUCAUGAGGCUAUUACUACCAAGGUAACAUCGAGUGAGCCUCAUGUGGACAUUAGCACUACUUCUAGUCAAAAAGCUAUAUUGCCAUGUGCUAGUCCUCGUAAUUCAUCUAAUCACAAUGUUGCUACAUCUUGUGAUGAAUUACUUUCUAUGCCUUGUUGCUCUAACAAUGAAGCUUAUACUUCCCCUAGUAAUUGUGUUGAUACUAACCAUUUAGAGGAAAUCAAAGAGCUCAAGGCCCAAGUCACUUCCUUGAAGAAAGACUUGGAAAAGAGUCAUGAAGGAAUGUCCACACUCAACAAUGUCUUGUGUGGGCAAAAAUCCCCAAAUGACAAAUAUGGACUUGGAUUCAACUCCAACAAGAAGAAUAAGUCCAAAAGCUUCAAGAAGAAGGGCCAAGAACAAGUCAAGAAUUCGGCAAAGAUUAUUUGCUUCAAGUGCAAAAUUGAAGGGCACCAUGUUAGAUCUUGCCCACUAAAGAAGAAGCCCCAAAGUCACAAGCAACAAGGGAAGAUGCCACAAGUGCACUCACAUACACAACUACAAGUUGAAGAAAGGCCCCUUCCCAAGAAGACCCCAGCGAACACUAUUCAUGUUGAGAAAUCAAUAGGGAAGAAAUUAAAGGGUAGAUGUUGCUACUUAUGUUGUGAGAAGGGUCACUUCGCUACUUCUUGCACGAGAGGUAAUUUAUCCAACCCAAUCAUUAUUGAUGAUAUCUAUUCACUUGGGAAGGAUAAGGUUGGCAAUGUGUUUGCCAAGUUUGUUGGUACUCAAAGUGGUGUCAAGAAAAGUAUCAUUUGGGUUGCCAAGCCUAUUGUGACUAACCUCUUAGGACCCAACGUGGUUGGGGACCAACAAACUCAAACUUGAUCAAUAGGUGUUUGUGGAGGACAUUAGAGACUUGGAUACAUAAUGAAGAAUUAAGGGGUCUUCAUCAUUCAUAUUUUCUCAAGCCAAGCCAUUUGGAUUAUCGAGUUUCUGUCUUAUAUCCAAUGUGCCUCCUUACGGUAACUUGUACUUGAACUGUUUACAUUGUUAGUUGCUUGCCCCUUUAUAUGUUGUGGUUUUGUACCUUGCAUGUGUUUGUACAUGUUGUGCUUCCAACUUUCUUAUGUUGAUUAAUCGAGUAUGUGUAUGUUGGUUUGCAUAUCAUGUACAUGUGAGUCUUGUAUUGAGCCUUUUUGCAUCUUGUUUGUAUCUUUGUUGGCUCUUGUGAGAGAUUAAUGGAUUAUCCCAUUGUGGGGGAGUGAUGUGCUUUGCACACCUCACAAUCCUAUAAAUGUGUAUACAUGGGGAAUACCACUUAGGAUUGAUAUUUCAAGAUUAUCUAGUUUCUAUGUGGUAUGUCUUACUCAUGAGAAAUUCAAAUUCUAUAUGGUCCAUUAAUUAUCUCUUGUUGGUUUUAAUUUGCCACUUGUUAAUAUUGUUGGGUUAUCACAUUAUGGGGGAGUAAUAUGCUAUGUGCAUAUUACAAGCCUAGAGAAUGUGUUCAUUUGAGGUAUUGCCACUUAGUGUUGAUAUUGUAAAUUAUCUUGUUCCUAGGUGGCAUGUUUGAUCUACAAGUGUCAUUUGCUUGUGUUUUAUGGGUAAAUAUGAUCUUGGAUAUAUUUGCGAUCUACCAAUGAGUAUCAUUUCCAAAAUACUUCUUGUCCUUGACAGUUGGUAUUCCCAUCAUGUGGUAGGAAUUGCUAAUCGUCUUUACAUUGGAUUUUGUGUUUCGUUUGUCUUCCUUGCCUCUUAUGGAUCUAUUUUAACAUGUCUAGUGUUUUUAUAGAUAUAAAGGAAGUGAUGAUUCCAUCUUGUGCAUUUUGUAUUUAAAUGCAAAUGCUAUAUAAUGCACAUCCCUUGGUGGAGCUAUCCUAUUUUCUUUAGAACACUCUCUUUAUUCGCCCAUCAUAAAAUCUUUUGAUCCCCAUCAAGUGUGUGUUGAUGGGAGGCAAGUCUUUCUCUUUAUGAUGCUUUGUGCCAUCAUGAAAAUUUGUCGAGGGUUUGGUUUGUUGGAACGUAGCUCUCUUUUGGAAACUAGAUACCUCGUGUUUGUUUUCCUUCAAUUGGUAUCUUGUUUCCUUUUAUUUGGCAUGUGUAAAUGGAUAUCUCAUUCCUUGAGGUAUCUUUUAAUUGAUAUCCUUCAAGUGAUAGUUUUUCGUUUGGUAUCUUAUCAUCACUUGAUACCUUGUCUUUUGGUGUAUUAUCAACUUUGUGUUGAGUUGAUUCUUGAAAGCCUUGAGCAUGCAUAUUUACUAUAUAUAGCUUAUUUUGCUUGCUUUCUUUCUUUUACCCAAUAUAUAGGGGAAACUCCACCUUGUCAUAAAUUGGCUAAAGUGUGCAUGAAAUUCAAAUUCAUAUAUAUGUGCACAUAUGUAUGUGGAGUUUGUCCUAUGUAUUGUUGGUUUUCUAACUCUUUGGUCCCAAUGAGCUUGGGCACCGUUUUGUUUGUUUUGUUGUUCCAGGAACAAUUGGAGAUGCGUUGGAUGCUCGGCUCGCCUAUAAGGAAGGUGUUGAGACCAUGUGGUUAUUGGAGACAAGUUAGGAUGAUCAACGAACAACUAUCUACUACAUCAAUCCAAUGUUGUCUCGGUAACAAGUAUCUACUUCAUGCAUUCAUUUCUUGCAAAGGCCCAAGCCUCUCUUUUCUUUUCCAGGUUGCAUCAUGGCAUGAAUCUCUUGAUUCGUUGUUGUAGUACUUGUUUCCUUUCUCAAAGCAUCCGAACGAUGAUGUCUUAUUGCUAGUUGGGAUGUCUUUGAUGUUCGUAUGUUGAAAGUUCAUAUUGUACAAUAAGAAAAUAUUAGGCCAUGUGCUAUGCUUCCAAGCAAAGAUCUUAUUGAUAUAUUCAUGACUUCCUUUUGGAUAUCUUGUUUGUUCCUUCUUGUAACCAUUUCGUGUGUACCUCCUUCUUUGUGGAUAUAUAUCAUCAUGAUUGUAUUCUACUUAGAAUCUUUUACACAUGAGAGAAGUUACAUCUCUAAUUGAUAUCCUCUUUUCUUUCACGUCCACCGUUGCAUUUCCUUUUUCAGUUUUUGGUGGCUUCGUGAAAGGAUUUUUCUUGAGUGCGUAUCUUAUUUUCCUACAUCUUGAUGCACUCUUUGUCCGUGAAGAUUAUUUUUCCUCAUGCUUGUCUUGAUGAGGGUUUUUCCAUUUCGAUUGGUAUCCCUCCUCUUGACAAGGUUCUUAUUUCCUAUCUUCACCAUGGGUUGUCACAAGCGUUGGUUCUUAUUUUGUUUAUUAGUAAGCUUGUGAACCCAUUUUCUAGUAUGUGUGUGUGGGAAUGAUAUGUCUUGCACUUUGUGUCUCAUCUCAUCAAGACUAUGUUGAUGAGUAAUGCUCAUCCUUAUCUUAGUCUUCUCAACUGCUUUGCCAUGACUCACACGCAUUAUUUUGGUUGAGCCUAUUCUUAAGUUGCUUCUUUUACAUGUUGCUCAACCAUUUGUUUUGUGCAAGUGAUAUGCUUAUUGUCUCAUUUAUCUUCUUGCACUCAUUGUGUGUUUUUAUUAAUUUUGGGGGAGCAACGGUCCUAUUUUGUGCAGUCGUAUCAAAUACAAAAAUCUCUUAUUAGUGCACAAAUCAUGGGGAGCUUCUCUAGUUUUGAUAAAACACUUUGUUGCCUUUAUCAUAAUAUCUUUUAUUCAUGUAGUUCGAAGGACCAUAUGGUUGUUUGUUCCAUCUGGUAUCUUUUGAUUGCUUGCCUCUAUUUUUGUACGUCUUUGUGGCAUACGAUCCUUUUAUUUGCAAUCUUUGGGUCCUCAAUAUAGUUUGUUUUCCUUCAACUACUUAUCAUUGUGUUUGUGUAUUUCUUUGCACUCAAUUUGCUGAGAAGUACACACUUUUUGGAGGACCACCAAAUAUAUUGGCUUUCUAAACUUUUCGUCUAUUUUGGAAAUCAAUGCCAAUAGGGGAGAAGUUUAGAGAGUUUACUUUGGAUAUGUUUAGAGGGUUUUGCUUUUAUUGCGUAAGCAUUUACAUCUUGCACGCAUGCAUUAUUGCUUUGUAUGUGUGUGCUUGGUUAUGCUUAUUUCCUUAUAUAAUCUCUCUUGAAGUGGUUGUCAUCAAUUACCAAAAUGGGCGAGAUUGUUAGAGCAUAUAUCUCCAUAUGUGGUUUUGGUAAUUGAAGACAAUUCCUAUGGACUAAUGGUUGCCUUAAGUCAUAUUUAUAGGAUUUGUCCAUAGGCACUUCUUGAACUCCAUCUGUUGGGUUCAAGGAGUUUAUAUGAUGACCAAGGUGGUAUUCAAGGUAUUAUCCAAAGAAUGGUCAUAGAGACACAAGGUUGAUCAAGAUCGCGAGGCAAAGAGUAAAUCAAGAUGAUCAACACACAAAGCAUACAAGAUGUACCGAGAGGGAUCAAGUGAUCCCAUGGUAUGGUAAGCAUUGUCCAUUACGCAUUUGUGUACUAACCCAUGGUCUUCGUGAGAGUUCUAUGUGGGGUUAGGUGUGUUUCCAUGGGCUUGCGUCAAGAGGAAGAUCGCAUACAACCCAUGGAGGAUGACGUCAAGUGGUGGAGGAUGGUGGCAAUGGACUUGUGAAGAUAUGCUUAAGAGCGGCUCACCCAUAGUGUGUAUGGGGGAGCAAUCAACUAGUCUAUAUCAAGCCAACGCAAGCAAGAAAGGUGGUCCAUCUUGAGGAAGCCAAGAUCAUCGUCAUCUAGCUCAAGAGGACGAGGUGCAAGGUAUAGGUUUGCCCUUGAUAGGUUUUCUGUUUUAGGAUAGAUUGUCGUACUGUCAAGGGGGGCUCUCAUGUGAGUAGCUUGAUCGUAUCGUUCGUUUAGAGCUCAAACCAUUUGCAUCCUUGCAUCAUACUUAUUGGUUCUUGUUUGGUAUUUCUCUUUGUGAGUUUUAGAGCUUAUGGUCAUCUUCAUGACACGCUCGAGUUCAUCAAAAAUGGAGUCCAUAUGCAUCUUCUAUGAUGUUUUCGAUGUUGGGAGUUUUUACGGUCUUAUUUGAAGAAGGGUUCUCACCAUUUUCUUAUGGGACUUUUCUCACUUUCUUGUUAUUGAUAUUUCUAUCAAAUUGUGUUAUCCCAUGUCGUUAGCUUUCCAACAAACCUGGUUUCAUUGAAUUCGGAGUCCGUAUGCGAAAGUUACAGUAGUUUCAGUAUCCAGCGGUAGUACCGCUCUUGUAGCGGUAGUACCGCCCCCGGAGAGGUAGUACCGCCCCCGGAGCGGUAGUAAUUUUUUACUAUCGCUCCCUAGCGGUAGUACCGCUCCGUCGAACUGUUUUUUGCAUACUUUUUGGCCUCAGCAUGGUUGGUGAACCUACCGAGCGGUAGUACCGCUCCAUGAGCGGUAGUACCGCUCUGUACGGGUUGUGAGGCUUAACGGUUGGAUUUUUCCCCACCUAUAAAGGGGGUCUUCUUCCCCAUUGAACCUUAUCUCUUUAGCUCGUGUUCUUCCCCCAUUGUUGACCUUCUUCGAGCUUGUUAACUCUCAAUCCCUCCAAUGAUUCUUGCUAGUUCUUGAGGGAAAAGAGAGAGGAGAUUUAGAUCCACAUUUCCACCAAUCACUUUCUCCUCUAAGUGAGGGGAACCCAUUGGUUCUAGAUCUUGGAGUUCUUCGUGUUCUUCUUCAUUCUUCCUCUCAUUUUCCUCCCUAGCAUUAGUUGCUUUGGUGGGAUUUGGGAGAGAGGGAUUUGGGCACUCUGUGUUCCCUUGCCAUUGCAUUUGGUGCAUCGGUUUGAGUUCUCCACGGUGAAACGUGGAAGUGAGAAGUUGAGAAGCUUAUUACCUUUGGGUACUUGGUACCCCUAGAAGCUUGGUGGUGCCUCGGAGCUCAAUCAUUGUGGUUUAAAGCUCCGGGCAAGCGUCGGGGUCUCCAAUUAAGUUGUGGAUAUUGCCCCAAGCAUUUGUGGUCACCUCGAAGCCAUAUGCCAUUGUGGUGAAGCUUCGUGGUGUUGUUGGGAGCCUCCAAUUAAGUUGUGGAGAUUGCCCCAACCUUGUUUGUACGGGUUAGGUGACCGCCCUCAAGGGUCCCUUAGUGGAAUCACGGCAUCUUGCAUUGUGCGAGAGCGUGAGGAGAUUAUGGUGGCCUUAGUGGCAUCUUGGGGAGCAUUGUGCCUCCACACCGCUCCAACGGAGAUUAGCAUCCGCAAGGGUGUGAACUUCGGGAUACAUCAUCGUCUCCAUGUGCCUCGGUUAUCUCUUACUUAAACCCUUUACUUAUGCACUUUACUUUGUGAUAGCCAUAUUGUUUCUUGUCAUAUAUCUUGCUAUCACUUAGUUGUUUAUCUUGCUUAGCUUAAGUUGUCGGUGCACAUAGUUGAGCCUAGUUGUUUUAGGUUUUGUGCUUGACAUAUUAGACGUUAGUUUUAUUCCGCAUUUGUUCAAGCCUAAAUCAUAAUUAUUUUAAAGCGCCUAUUCACCCCCCUCUAUGCGACAUCCACGUCCUUUCAAUUGGUAUAAGAGCUAGGUCUCUCUUUAUUAGGUUUAACCACCUAGAGAGUAAGGAUGUCGACUAGGGGUGUAGGAUUCACUUACACUCUUAGUUUCGAUGGCACAAAUUUUGAUGUUUGGGUAAUUCGCAUGCUUAGUCACUUUCGGGUCUUGGACCCAAAUUUAGAGCGAAUUGUAGAUAUGGGUUUUUCACCUCCAAAGGAUUCUCAAAAUAUAUCUUUAGAGGAUGAGAAAAACUCUUAUCUCAAUGCUCAAGCUUCUAAUGUGCUUUUUGAUGCUUUGAGCAAUGUAGUUAUAUUUCAACUCAUGCCAUUCUGGGAUGCUCAUGAGUUGUGGACAAAGCUUCAAGAUAAAUAUGGUAUGUCCAAGAUUAGCAUCUGCAAGGGUCUGAACUUCGGGAUACAUCAUCGUCUCCAUGUGCCUCGGUUAUCUCUUACCCGAACCCUUUACUUAUGCACUUUACUUUGCGAUAGCCAUAUUGUUUCUUGUCAUAUACUCCCUCUGUAAACUUUUAUAAGAGUGUUUAGGAUUUUAAGACACAGCCGACAAAUGGUGAAUUAGACCAUUCUACCCUCAAUUUGAAUUUCGAUCGUCUUCCUCCUCCAGGAGCUCACGCGGUCCCCAUCCUCCAGGAGCUCCCAUCGUCUUCCUCCUCGAGGAGCUCACGUCGUCCCCAUCCUCCAGGAGCUCGUGCCGCCGUCUUCCUCCAGAAUCUCGCGCCGCCGUCUUCCUCCAGGAACUCGCACCGGCUCCUCCUGCAGAAGCUCGCGCCGCCCACCUCCUCCAGGAUCUCGCACCGCCGUCUUCCUCCAGGAACUCGCGCCGGCCCCUGCUGCAGAAGCUCGCGCCACCCACCUCCCCAGGAACUCACGCCGCCCACUCCUUCAGAAGCUCGCACCGCUCCCCUCCUCCAGGAACUCGCGUUGCCCCCUUCCUGCAGAAUCUCGUGCCGCCCCGCUUCUCCAGGAGCUCGUGCCGCCCUCUUCUCCAGGAGCUCGUGUCGCCCCCUUUGUGCCGGCCCGUGCUGCCCCCCUCGUGCAGGAGCUCAUGCCUGAGCUUGGUCCUCGCCGUGCCUAGCCCAUCUGGCUCGUCGCUGCCGCACGCAGAAUGUGGUCUCCAGGCAGGUUCUCCUCACCUGUCCCAUUGCACAACAACAUAAAUUACUUCAUCAGUUUACAGAGCACACAGUCUGAAGUAGAGCACACAGUCUAAAGUAGUUUACAGAACAACAUAAAUUACUUCAUCAGUUUACAGAAGAAUUUACUCCAUGUUCUUAUGUUGUAGUUACAGUAAAAUCUUGCUCAAACAUAAAUUACUCCACCAGUAAUGUGAUCUUGCUCCCUGUAAUUUUACUGUAAAUUCUUCAAAUAGACUGAAAGUUAGAUUCAACAUAGAUUUAGUUAAAUGCACAGUCACACAUGAAAUGUGUUCAUUAUUUACAGAAGUUACAAAAAAAUUCACUAUCAGAUGCUGCACUUGUCUGUCAAAAUACAGACCAUUGUACUCCUACAGCACAGUACACCUUGUCUAAACAUUACUGCAUCAUUAACAAUAAUUUACAAAAGAAUGGAGUACUUUUAUCUGUAUUAAAAUGCAUAGAUUCGACAGAUUGACCACGUAGCAGACUUUACAAAUGGAUUAGUUGAAUGAUCAUACUGUGCAUUUCAAUAUUACAAUGACAUGUCUGUAUAUAACUUAAAUGCAUAUUAAACUUUUUGUGGAAAAUUUCAGCAAGAGGAAAGGAAUAGGAGAAUCAGCAGGAGCAGCACAGCAUGGUGCUCCCAGACUUGAACUGCACACCACCUGCAGGAGAAGAAGCACAUGAUGAUGACAAUAUGAUCCAAGAAGAUGAGAAUAUGCUCCAAGAAGAUGACAAUAUGCUCCAAGAAGAAGCAACAAGUACAGUUCAAAUACAUAGGCAAAGAAAGUCAAUGACAGAUGAGCAAAGAUACGCUGUCUACAUGGCACUACGUACCUUGAAUCUGGCCACGGGUGGCAAGUUAAAAAGAAAUGACAAGAAGGAUGUCGCUCAAAUUUUUCAAGUUGGUUUCCAACACAUCCGAAAAAUCUGGAUGACAGCAGAAAGACAAAUAUCGCUUGGCCAGGAGGUUGAUGUAUCCAACAGAAGGAAAGGAAGAUGUGCAAGAAAGGGAAAGGAUGAUGCUCUAAACAAAAUCCCCACGGUUCCAUUGAAUAGAAGGUCAACUCUUAGGUCACUUGCUCGCCAAUUAGCUGUCAGUCACACUACACUCUACAAGAAACCCAAGCUUCGCAAGAUUAGGAGGCACUCCAAUCGUUUGAAGAGACAACCUUAGCAGGUCCAAGACCUAAAUUCAUCAGUAUGCACAACAUUGUGCAUAUUCACGAAAAGUGGUUCUAUAUGACAAAAAUGAAUAGAAACUACUACCUCCUCCCCGAGGAAGAUGACCCGGACAGAACUGUUCGAAACAAGAACUGUAUUGGGAAAGUGAUCUUUCUAACCGUUGUUGCUCGACCCAGAUUUGACACUGAAGGCAAUGUCACAUUCUCUGGUAAAAUUGGUGUCUGGCCCUUUGUGCAAGAGAUCCCCGCUGCUAGAAAAGUGAAUAUAGAGCACGAGGGACCAUCAAAAUCAAGUCUGUCAACGUGAACCGGCAGGUAAUGAGGAGGUAUAUGAUAGAAAAACUGGUUCCAGGAAUAAAGGAAGUGUGGCCCGUAGAUGAUAUUAAUCCAAUAUUGAUCCAGCAAGAUAACGCAAAAACCCAUAUUCUUCCUGGUGAUACAGAGUUUGCAGAAGCUGUGGCUAUUACUGGUCUGGACAUUAAAAUAAUAAACCAGCCUCCAAAUUCUCCUGAUCUAAACACACUUGAUCUUGGAUAUUUCAGAUCCCUUGAGUCUUUGACCGACUGUAGAGCUCCGACGACUAUCAAAGAAUUGAUUCAAGGUGUUCAUGAAGAAUUUGAUGAGUAUGAUGUCGGGAAACUCAAUAGAAUAUUUGUAACACUUCAGACCAUCAUGGUCGAAGUGAUGAACCAUGGAGGAGAAAAUUCAUAUAAAAUUCCACAUUUGCGGAAGGAGAGAUUGGAAAGGCAAGGAAUCCUACCACCUAGAAUCCAUUUUCCUCGUGAAGUGUAUGAAAAUGUCAUGGAGUUGUUAGAACAAGAUGUCAUGGAGUAGUGGAGUAUGUUGAGACUUGUAGUGCUCUGAUGGAACUUGUUUGUGGAAAUGCAUUACUGAGACUUGUAUUGUUUGUGGAUAUGUAUUAUUUGUAAGUAUGAAAUGGAUUAUUCCAUAUGUGUUGUCUGAAAUUAUAUGCAAGUUUCUAAACUUUAUGGAAGUUUCUGAAUUUUACAUGAAAGUUCCUGAUUUUUUGAAUAGUGAACCACCAGUAGGAGUAACUAGUGAAGCUUGCUGGAGUAUUUUGAAUCUGUGUUGAAGCUGGAGUAUUUUGCAAAAAAUGACUCAGGAUCUUGUAUGCAGGAUUUUAUUCCUAAAGUUUGAACAAUGAAACCUUGUGUAUGCUUGCAAGACAAAAAUGAUGUCUCUCUGCUCUUGUAUGCAGGAUUUUAUUCCUGAAGUUUGAACAAUGUGUAUACUCCCUCCAUAUUCCUAAAGUUUGAACAAUGAAACCUUGUGUAUGCUUGCAAGACAAAAAUGAUGUCUCUCUACUCUUGUAUGCAGGAUUUUAUUCCUUAAGUUUGAACAAUGUGUAUACUCCCUCCAUAUUCCUAAAGUUUGAACAAUGAAACCUUGUGUAUGCUUGCAAGACAAAAAUGAUGUCUCUCUGCUCUUGUAUGCAGGAUUUUAUUCCUUAAGUUUGAACAAUGUGUAUACUCCCUCCAUAUUCCUAAACUUUCACCUUGUGUAUACAUCUACUACUCCCUCCAUAUUCCUAAAGUUUCACCUUGUGUAUACAUCAGCAGCAGCAAAACACAAAAUCUGCAGUGACAUCAUCAGCAGUGAUCUACAGUGCAUGAAGAUCCUAUCCCAAGUUUGUCUUAAUCAUCAUUGAACAGUGAUAUCAUCAGCAGCACAAUGAAAUAAUCAUCAGAGCACACAGCCUGAAGCAGAGCACACAGUCUGAAGUAGAGCACACAAGCAGAGCACAAACAAGUUUUUUCUUAGCAUCUCAGAAGCAGAACACACAAUCUGCACACAAGGGGACGAAGAUGAAGUCUGACCUGAUCUACACAUGAAGAUGAAGUCUGACCUGAUCUGCACAUGAAGAUGAAGUCGCCCGGCAGCUUGAACUCCCCCUCGUCUCGCACAGCAUCUCCAACUCCACAUCUGCAGGACCUCCUCCGCUCCUCGUCAUGCACACCCAUCUGCAGGACCUCCUCCGCUCCUCCACAGCAGCAACUACAUCUCCAAUAUCGGUGCUCCUCCUUGCAUGACGAGGAAGACGCGAAGCACCAGCGUUCCUCGCCGUCGGUCGAGCAGGACAAGGCUGUGUUGCUCGCGCUCGUCUCGCUCUUCCUUGACCUUGGUAAAAAAAACCCAGCUUUGCCUCGAGCAGGAGAAGGGAGCGAAAGGGAGAAGCGGCGCAGGUGAGGGGGAGCGGCGCGAGCGAGAGGGAGAAGCGGCGCGGGCGAGGGGGAGCGGCGCCAGCGACGGAAAGCGGCGCACGAGAGCGGCGCGGGCCAGAGGGAGAGCGGCGCGGGCCAGAGGGAGAGCGGCGCCGGCGAGCUAGGGAUUUUGGAGUGAGGGGAAUCGCGAGUGAGCGAGUGAGGUGACGGAGGGGCAAAAUGGGAAACAACAAGAUUUUCGUAGUGUUAUGAAAUUUGAACUGCAAUUCCUAAACGCUCUUAUAAAAGUUUACAGAGGGAGUAUCUUGCUAUCACUUAGUUGUUUAUCUUGCUUAGCUUAAGUUGUUGGUGCACAUAGUUGAGCCUAGUUGUUUUAGGUUUUGUGCUUGACAUNNNNNNNNNNNNNNNNNNNNNNNNNNNNNNNNNNNNNNNNNNNNNNNNNNNNNNNNNNNNNNNNNNNNNNNNNNNNNNNNNNNNNNNNNNNNNNNNNNNNNNNNNNNNNNNNNNNNNNNNNNNNNNNNNNNNNNNNNNNNNNNNNNNNNNNNNNNNNNNNNNNNNNNNNNNNNNNNNNNNNNNNNNNNNNNNNNNNNNNNNNNNNNNNNNNNNNNNNUAUCUUGCUAUCACUUAGUUGUUUAUCUUGCUUAGCUUAAGUUGUUGGUGCACAUAGUUGAGCCUAGUUGUUUUAGGUUUUGUGCUUGACAUAUUAAACGUUAGUUUUAUUCCGCAUUUGUUCAAGCCUAAAUCGUAAUUAUUUUAAAGCGCCUAUUCACCCCCCCUAGGUGACACCCACGUCCUUUCACCGAUGCAGUUUCAGUUGCACCGAUUUGGUUGAAAUGGCGAGGGUUCUGUCUGAGGUUCAAACUCGGUGGGUCCGAUGUGCAAAUGUUGGUGACACCGAAUUUUUGAAUGUGGAACUUGACAGAGUGGAUAUGUGGGAAAAAUGACUGAGUGUUUUGGUGGCUAACUUUGAGCAUUUGAGCAAUCAAUUCAUUUUACUACCUCACCCCUUUUUAAUAGUAUUGGCUUUCCUAUGGACUCAAAAGUGAUUUCUCACAAAUAUAAAAUGAAGAGCCUUCUAGAUUGAAGCUUGAGCCAAUAUUAUUCCUUUCUUGCAUCCAGGUGUAUCUCCACAUAAACCUUAAGCCGUAGCAUCUUUUAAACUUUUCUGAAAUAUACUUGGAAAACACAUUAGUCCAAUGAUGCAUAUGUUGUGAUGAAUUAUCAAAACCAUCCUAGGGAGCAAUUGUGCUUUCAACUCAGCAAGCAGUAACAUUGCCAAACAAAGGUUUGCUCGGAUGUGCAGAGGGUUAGAGGCUUUUCAUGGCAAUAUUAGGAGGCUUCACAUAGCAGGUGGUAGGCAGCAAGACAUAGUGAUGGAAACGAGACAACUAGCAUGGAAAUGAUAGUUGUGGUAUCUAGGGAAAUGAUCAUCUUGAGUGAGAUCCCGCUUGGAAAAAGAAUAAAUCUGUGAAAUAGACGAACCAACGUAGUUGAACGAAUCCUCACAUUUCGAAGCGGUUUCCAAACUCUAUCGAGAAGAAACAAUCUAGAUUCAAACAAUCAACACCUGAUAACACCACAACAUAUUCAUGAUAUGAUGCGCAAUCAAAUAUGAUGCAUUUCCAUUAUUUAUGCAUGACAUGGCAAAGUACAACAAUCAACUUCUACACAUUAAAUGAAGCUCAAUACGCAACAAGGUGCAUUCUGACAAAACUCCAUAUUUCAAUUAUUUAGUUCACACUCAUUUAGGUACACAACAAUUUUAAAUGUUGUUAAAUAUGGCAAGAGGUGAAGCAUAAUAAUGCUACACUAUCUCGGCAUUUUAAAUAUGGACGGAAACAACUUAUAGUAUUUCCGAAGCGACCCCAUAUGUUAAUUUGGAAAUUUGUCCAUAUCUGAACUGAAAACAUUUUGUAGUUAUUAAACAGCAAAAUAGAGUGGACCAUGUGAUUCUACACAUCAUUCUAGGCGAUUUUCCUAUAUGGAUCAUCUAAAAUGGAGUUACGAUCUAAAUGAUAUGACCAUCACAUGAUAAUAUGCCAUGAAUGCAAAAUGUAUGCAAUGGCAGCCACAAACAUGUUAAAUCAUGGAUGCAGAAACAUAUUAUGGAACUACAUGAAAUUCUAGGCAAGUUUAAAUGAGGCCUAAACAAAGAAUAACAAUUCCGGAAAGUCCCCACAUGCAAAUUAAGAUUUUGGUACCGUUCUGUCUAUAACACAAUCCUAGAGUUGUUAAACAGCAAAAUAAAUGCCACCAUGUUAUUCUACCCAUUUUUCUAGUGAAGUUACACAUAUGGAACAUUUUAAUCGGAGCUAUGAUUAUUUAAUUAUGAAAUAAUUCAUUUUAACAUGGUAUCUAUGCAAAUUACAUGCAAACAACGGGUUAAAACAUUUUUAACAUGCAUGAAAGUGGGAUAUUCUUAAUCUACACACAAUUCUGGACAUUUUAUAUAUUGAAUCCAUCGUGAUCCGAUGCACGGUUAUUUAAUUACGAGUGUAUGAAAAUGUGGUUAUUCCUGAAAUUUAGCAAUGGCCAUUUAAUUAACAAAUCUCCACACACAAAGAAAAGAAAAAUGGGUGGAAUAUGCUUAUGGGUCGAAAACAGGGCAUGAGCGCAACUUAGAAAGGAAUUGCACAGAGUGCGGGAUAGAACGUGACGCUCACCAAGCGGUUGGGCCGUUUUGAAGAAACGGUUGGGUCGACGAGGCGGUUGCCGCCCAAGUGGGCGAUGUUGUGGCGAAGGUAAACUGGGCCGGCAGAUCUAGCGCUGGCUUGGGCUUGCGGGGGCAGCUCCAGCACACGUGGGUGACACUAGGGAGAUAAGAUGCUGGGUCGACAGAUCUGGCUCUGGCUUUGGCUUACGGGGCCAGGUAACUGCAGGUCUCCGGCUGGGCCUUUCAUCAGGGGCCAUGGUGGUUGUGCGAGGCCGACCCAUGAUGUGGACGCGAGCGGGCACCCGACAAGCGAGGGUCAAGGCGAUCCAACUUGAGGCUCUCCGGCAGCAGGGACGACAAAGUAAGACAGAGAUGGCCGGGAACGGGCGGAUUCAGGGCUCCCCAUCACGGAUCUGGCCAGGAAACAAGGCAUCACGGUGAGAGUGAGUUGCAGGAGGCCAACCAUCGCGUCGGGCUUCCUGUGGGCAUGCAACAAGAGAUAGAGGUUAAAGAGGAGAUCGGUAGAGUGGGAGAAAGCGUCGGGGCGACCUGGUCGGCGACGGAGGCAACUCUCUGGAAGGGCUGCAACGGGGAUCAGCGAUGGAGGCAACGCGGGGGCAAGCCUCAGGCACGGGGCAGCUUUGGAUGUGAGGAAGGCGAGGGCAUGCGGCGACAUCACUUCGGGCUUGAUUCGGCUAGGAAGGGCCCUAGAUGGGCUUGACAGGCUUCGCGUGGCUAGGGGUGGAGGUGCUGCUGGCUGUGGUGGAGCUCAGCUGGCUAGUUGGCCCUCUCGCCGUCCAAAAUGGCUGCGGACGACCGGGAUCGUGGCUCAUGAGCCGACCUGGUGGCUCGACUGGGAGCCGAUGGUUUAGGAGUGGCUCGGGAGCAGAUUCUAGGCGAGGUGGUGGCGGCUAGAGGUAGGGGAAGGGUAGACUAGGGUUUAGGGUCAAAAUGGGCAGGGUUAGGCUCUGUAUUUAUAGUAGGAAGACUAGGGAUGAGGGUUUUUGUCUAUCUUUGGACCGAAGGAUCGCAAUGCGACGGCUCUGAUCUAAGGAGGAUUUAGGGUAGGCCUAGUUGGCUGUGUAGAUCUAGAACGCCCAAGAUGCGAUCCUAUCUUAUUUUGGCACGAGGGCCUCGAUAAGGAUAGAAGCGGAUUUCGUCGUUUUGCAAGAAUAUAUAUCGUUACAACUAUAUGUACAAAAGGGAUGAGUGUGUGGAAUUGGCUUACACUGGCCACAAGCUACAGCAUGGACAAGACAAUACAACAAUGUAUUCAAUCACCAUGUAUAAGAGCAGGGUCCGACUACGGACGUUAUCAAAUGAUAAAAGAAUGAUGUCCAUCCUUGCUAUCCCGGGCUGCCGGCCUGGAACCUAACCUAGAUCGAUGACGAGGAAGAAAAGGAAACUCCAAAUAGAACAAUCAUCGCGCUCACGUCAAAGUAUCACUUUACCUGUAUGUGCAACUGUUGUUGUAGUAAUUUGUGAGCAACAGGGACUCAACAAUCUCAUUUCAAUGGUAUCAAGACGAGCAAAGCUUAAUGGGUGAGGUAUGGCUAAGCGGUGAGGCUGCAGCAAGCAACUAAGAAUUUAUAUUAGUGGCUAACUUACGAGUACAAGAAUAAGAGGGGGGUUAUCUACGCAUAACGGACGUGGAAUAAUAAUGAUCUCGAAGUAUGCAGAAAACCUACUUACGCCAGACAUAACCCCACCAUAUCCUCUUCCGGAUGUUGAACUCACGAGAAGAGAUAGUCACGGUUACGCACACUGUUGGCAUAUCUCAAUUAAGUUUACUUGAAGUUAUCUAGCACCGUAUGUUAAACAAAGUGUCCAAGUUGCCACAUAACCGCUGGCACAACUGUCAGAAAGAUUUAAGCCCGCAGGGUUGCUCCAACGAGUCCAUCACAAACUACCGCACGCUGCAUUGGAAACCUCGACCACGGAAAACCCGUGAUCUCCUCGGAUUCCUGGUGGAAAACAUCAACCUCGAGAUAGCCAAAGUAUCCUCGGAAUCCCUCGCACAAGACAUUCGAGAAAGUUAAAACAAACCCGGCAAGGCCUCCCGACGUGUCGACAAUCCCGAUAGGAGUCGCAUUUCUCGUUCUCACGACGCGACGGAUGAGCGAUUGUUACCAAGCUAAACGCCGAGUUGCCCCGGGUAGCGUUAAUAAGCUGCUCUGGGUUGGACAAACACUCAUGUGGAGCACUAGCCCAGGGGUUGAUUUAUUAUCCAUGGGGGUCGACGGGUCCCUAUGCAAUUUUAUUAGUUAUUAGGCAAAUGUAGUAUCAAUGUUGGGCCUUGCCAGAAGAGUUUUAUCCCAAAACGGAAUUCAAGAGGGUCCCCAUAACAACCCCAAGCAUGUUAGGAGCGCUCAAUCUGGAACUUAACAUCGGUAGCCGAAACUAAGACGGAAAAAGCGGAACAAACCACCCAGCCAAAAGGUCAAGCCUUCCACCUUUAACCAGGUAUAUAGGUGCAUUAUAUUAAAUAGCAAUAAUAGGGUGACAUAACAAGGAACCCAUGUUUUCACAUAGAAGCAACUACACCUGCAACUAGCAAUGCUAUAAGAAGGCUGAGCGAGCGGUAAUGUUACACCCUGUGUUUAGCUUUCCUGACUAAUUAACUUAUUUCAAAAAUUAGGACCAAUUAAAAAUUUUGUGAAUGCUUGUGAUGCUUGAAGUGAAUGUUGUUUGCUUGCUUGCUUAUAUGCUUGUGUUUGAUUCUCAUUAAUUCCUGUUACUCUAGACUCACGUCCCCAGCCCCAAACUCCUGCGUGAUGAUCAUGCCAUGUGUUUAUGACCAGAAACUAUUUUUACCAAAUAAUAUUUUCACCAAAAAGAAUUUCUUUGAAUUAAGCUUUCAAAACCCCUAAGAUGGGAUCUGUACUCCAAGUCCACAAAUUAGGGAAUUUGUUUUGCAGCAAUUACUUUAUUUAAAAAUCAUUAUCAAAAUGACUUCCCAAAACCACAACAUUAUUAUUUUAAAGGUUAUUUUAGUAUUUUAUUAAAAGCCUUCCUGUGAGGCCAGAAAUGGUCCCUUACGAAGGAAAGUUAUUUUUAUUGCUUUCAAAAUAUUUAAGAAAAUUUAGGGAAACUCAAUGGACAUAUAUAUUCCAUAUAUAUGAGUUUCAACACAUGGUUAUGUUCAAACUAUUGGGCAACCCCUUCAAAACCCUUCCUGCCUAUUUCAAGAUUUUGGAAUAUUUCUAUAAGAAAUAUUCUCAAUAAAUUCCAGUAAAAUUCCAGCAUGUCACCUAUUAUAUGUUUGAUGAUCUUGCCAAGUUUCAUCUCAUUCCAAGUUGAAUUGCUUCCCCUAAUAGUUCUAAAACCCUAUCUGUCCAGAUCCAAAUUUGAGCAACUCUACAUUGUCUAGUAUCUCCAAAUGUGCUCCAAUUUGGUAGGCAUGUUAUGAUACUCCAAUAAUGCAUCCACACCAAGUGGUGCAUCAAGGAUAAUAGAAGAACUUGUCCCAAGCCCCUCAAAACCCACUCUGUUGAUUUCUGACUUUGGGAAACUUUACAUUAUAAAGUUUCUCCAAUUGAUCCCAAACUUUUUGGGCAUGCUUUAAUGCUCAAAUAAUGCCCCACGCCAAAUAUUGGUUUUGUGGGAAUUGAUUUGAAUAUCUUUGUAAGCAAAAGCCCAUUUCUGCCCAUUUCAUGGGUUUUCCAAGUCUACAUUGGAAACCUUGUCCACCAAAUCCCAAAUUUGGUGUCCAAGCCUAUUUUCAUCUAUCAUUUGAUCCUGUUAAGUUUCAUGUCCAUUUAAGUCCAUCUGGUUUCCCUGCCACUCAUCAAACACCUUAUGUGCACUCACUAAAGUGGCUACUUUGACCCCUUCCACUUUAACCCUUGAGCUCAACUUUCUACACAGCUUCAUAUAGUUACAUUUUACCUCCAGUAACAUUCCCAUGGCCACUGGUCAAUUAUUGGAGAGAGACCCCUUGUAGCUAUUCCUCAUUUUUACCCUAGGAUCAACCUCUUUACCCCUCUUGCCCCACCUCUGCUUAAGAUAAGACCCCCAAUUCUUUCCAGAGCCUCCCUAGUAUGUCAAUGCUUCAUUUCAAACCAAGAUAUGGCAUGCUCAUGUGGAGAAAAUGAGCAGCACAUCUACAAGUUGAUUUCUGACAGAAAUGUAGCCUUGUACAACAAGUACUAGCUACACUCCUCUGAUUGAUCACAAACUUGGCAUAGUGGUAGUCCUUCCAUGAAUAAGACUGGUAGACAAGGUUUCACCUCAAUUCCACUUCUGGGAAAACCACUUUUGCCAGCCCCUAGUUUCCUGUUGCAAACUUAAUCAGAGUCCAAACCCAUUCAAACCAGAUUCACUAGCUACCAAACUACAGAGUCUCCUUCCUGCAUGUGCGCCAUGCGUGCUGGACAUGUUUGACUGGUCUUAGCAGCCCUGUGGACACGAAUGGCCAUGGUGACCACGCUGGCAGCAUGCAACAGCGGUGCUCUGCAUCCUUUUCUUUUGCUGCAGCUUGGGUCCAUCGAUGGUCGCGUUUCCCAGCGUGCCAGGGCACUCCCCUUGACUGGUCCAAGCCCUCCCCGACACCAGCUCGCCUCCAAAGUGCACCAGGGACGCGUGUGUGCCCCGUGCCCUGAGAACACCGAGAGCUCCCGAGCUCUCUCUCUCUCUCUCUCUCUCUCUCUCUUCUCCCUCUCUUAUCUCCUCCCCCCCCNNNNNNNNNNNNNNNNNNNNNNNNNNNNNNNNNNNNNNNNNNNNNNNNNNNNNNNNNNNNNNNNNNNNNNNNNNNNNNNNNNNNNNNNNNNNNNNNNNNNNNNNNNNNNNNNNNNNNNNNNNNNNNNNNNNNNNNNNNNNNNNNNNNNNNNNNNNNNNNNNNNNNNNNNNNNNNNNNNNNNNNNNNNNNNNNNNNNNNNNNNNNNNNNNNNNNNNNNNNNNNNNNNNNNNNNNNNNNNNNNNNNNNNNNNNNNNNNNNNNNNNNNNNNNNNNNNNNNNNNNCCCCCCGAGCUCUUUUGGGCUCUCCCUCACUCCCUCCUUUCUCCUGCAACCUCCUAGACCUCUCCUCCUCCCGAGCUUUUCCCCCGCCACCAUGGCCGGCUAUGGCCGAAGCUCUCCCGCCCGCGAGCAGAUCCGGAUCGAGCAACCAGGGCUCCCCCUCGCCCCUGGGCCCUCUAGUGAACCCUCCCCGUCGCCGCGCAUCCCCCUCAACACCCCAUCUCCUACCUAGGCGCCGCACGCCCAAGGCCCGUGAAGGUCGGCUGCCUCCCACAUGGCCACCCCAGCAGGAGCCGCUGCAGCUCCUACCCGCCGACGCAUAGGGCCUGGUCGGGCGCGGCGCGGCCGCCCGAGCUCACCGGUGUGUCGGGCCUCGCUGGAGGUGGCUAAAGGAUAGAGAGUCGACGCGCUCUCGAGCUCCUGCCUCUCAUCUGCGUGAGCGGGAGGUGGGAGAUGGAGCUGACAGGCAGGGCCCCCACGUCAGCCCCAUGCUGGCCGGGCCUCGGGGAUAAGUGGUCGCGCGUGGCCAGAUGCAGCCUCCCCGCGCGGAAAGCAUAUUCCAUAGAAUACGGCGUCAUCGGCCCCCUCGAGGCUAAGGCAGCUGGGCCGGCCCAUUGUUUGUUUAGCGCGUCGAGCACGUUAUAACCCCCUCUGGAGGCCCACUUUCCCUUUUUAUUUAUCAGUAAACUUCGAAAAUCAAUAGCAAAUUCAUUUUAACUCCAAUUUGCUGGAUUCAAAUUCCUGUAGGAUCCUAAAAUCAAGGACUAUCCGAAUAUGUGCUUUGCACAUUUUUCCAAGCAACCUUUCUCUAGUAUUAUUAUUCAAAUGCAGAUUUGAAUAUAUUUAGCCUACCUUUUGUAAAAUCCUAUAGGAUUCAAAUCAACUCCAAUUGGAGUGAUUCAAAUUUCCAGAGCCUUCUUAUAGCACACCCUAUUUUUGGAGCCAUAGCCAACAUUUUUGUAUAGCAUAUUUUUGUUGCAAUAAAUAAAUAGCCCUCUUUUGCUAUUUAUCCAACAUCAAAAAAUCCCUAAUAUAUUCACCUCAACUCCAAAUCUAGAGAAACAACUUCCUAAAUAUUUCUAAAAUUGUUCUUUGUUAAAUGAGUGCCCCCCUACUCCUCCUUUCAUCCAUUCAAAAAUCCCUGAUGAUCCAAACCUCCUAUGGCAAGCUUCAGGUAUUUUUCUUAUGACCAGAGAGGUCCAAGAAAAAUAAAACUUCUAUUUUUAUAGCACUUUAAUUCUUCUUGCUGUGUGGCUGACUGUGAUUGUUUCCGACGAUAGUUGAUGAGUAGACGAAGUUCUCGGAGUUGGAUCGAAAGACCUCGAAGACCCGAGGACUUAUGUGAGCAAUGGCAAGCAGCCCUUUGACAAUGACUGCGCAUAUGUUAUAUUGCAUGCUAGUGUAGCAAGUAUUUAUGUUGCAUGUGAUCUUAAGUAUUCGGUAAAUCAUUGAAGUAAUGUUACCGAAGGCUCCUCCGGAGCACUUGCAUUUUGAGCAUGAUCCUACCACCUAUGAGGGUCACGCUAAUAUCAUGUUGACAAGUAAAGCUAGAAUAGCAGUAGCAUGAGCAUGUUGUUGGUAUAAAUCAAAGGUUUCUGAAAACCCCAUCGGGUGCCACUAAUUCCCGAGGGUGUUAAUGAGUUAGGUGGCCACUUUUGGUGAAGUGGUGCACCGGGUAUUUUGUGUGAGUAUGAUUUCGGAAAUGGGAUUAGAUUCAUGAUGUGUUGACCGUCCUAACCUUACAUGUACGACCAUGUUAACCCUUUAUUGGAUGGGGCUUUGUUAAUUACUCUGGUCGGUGCUAGCAAAGAGCCACAUUACUAGUGGCGGGAGUGAUGUGUGGUCACUCCCGUGAUGGGGUCGUGCCAGGUAGGGCGACUAUGCCGUUUUUACGUGUUCCAGGCACACUGUUGGUUCCUGCAUGGUUGAUACUGUCCAGAGUCAGUGCUCAUAAGAGUACAACAUGUGGGUUGGGUACCAAUUGAGCGGACCUCUUUGUCUAGUAUCGUCAGGGGAAAGGCAUUGAUCGGGUACUUACCUCGGAUAUGUUAUAUACCGCGAGUUGUGGAUGACACGGAAGUUUCCCGGAUCUCAUGGGUCCAGCGUACUACCUCUGCAGAGUGUAAAACUAUUCAAAUAGUCGUGUCCACGGUCAAGGACAGUUGCGUAAUCCUGGUUAAACUACGUCCAGUCGUUUCCGCAUAAAUCAAGUGUGUGUGUGUGUGUGUGUGUGUGAGCGUGGUGUUAAUAUGAAAGAGUUAAUAUGACCAAGUUUGGUGACUUGGCAUAUCGGUGAAUCCGGAGUAUUCAGCCCUUGGCAGAUAUGUUUAUAUUUGUAACCUGUUCUUCAAAUCAACAUCUAGUUUAUGAUGCAUAUCCAUGAUCAAGUUUAUUCAUAGAUAAGAUGCUAUCCUCCAAAGAUGCAUAUUACUUGUUAUUCUACCAACUGCAUUGUUCAUAUCAUGGGUUGUUUGCGAGUACAUUCAAAGUACUCAUUGGCUUGCCGUUGGUUAUUUCGUUGACCAGGUAUGAGAGAGUUGGAUAUGUGAAGAGUAACUUGGUGAAGUUCUUGCGAGCUAGGAUGCUUCCCAGUCAGAAUGCAUGUAGGUUAAGGCUGAUGGCAUGGGCUCUCGCUUUCGAUCAAAAUUUCCGCUAUUGGUCCACUGCGGUGUGCUGGCCUGCAAGGCCUUAUAAAUAUGUAAGAAUUGACCAUGAUGGUCAUUUAUUGUAUCAAACGGUAUGUAUGGAUGUAAGACUCUUGUUAUUCAGUUUCUGUGUGUUCGGUGACUAUUGAUCUCUGGAAUCACUUGGCACGUUCAUUCGACGAUCUCGACUCAUAAGUCGGAGUCCUACAGGUAACAUAGCCAAACAAGGAUCUGCUGGGUUGUGGAAGGGUUAGAGGCUUUUAUGGCAAUUUUGAAGGCUGACAUUUAAGUGGUAGGUAGCGAGACAUAGCAAAAUAAAUGACACAACUAGCAUGGAAAUGAUAGUAAUGGUAUCUAAGAAAAUGAUCAUCUUGACUGUGAUCCCGCUUGGAAGAAGACGAAGCCGUGAAGCAGACGAGCCAAUGUAGUCGAACGAAUCCUCACACUCCGGCACGCUUGCAGAACUCUAUCAAGAAGAAUUAAUCUGGAAACAAGAAUAAUCACAUGAUAACACCACACCUAUUCAUGACAAGAUGCACAAUCAAAUAUGAUGCAUGUCCAUUUGAAUUGUGCAACGCAUGGAAAACCACAACAAUUAAUACUACGCAUUAAAUGAAGCUCAAUCUGCAACUCAUUGCAUAUUUACGAAACCCCUAUUUGAAUUAUUAGUUCACUCUCAUUUAGGUACACGACAAUGUUAAAUGUUGUUAAACAUGACAAGAGGUAAAGCAUAAAUAAACUACACUAUCUAAGCAUUUUAAAUGAGGUCGGAAAGAAUAUAUAGUAUUUCCGGAAUGACCCCAUAUGUGAAUUUCGAAAUUAGUCCAUAUCUGUACUAAACACAUUUUAUAUUUAUUAAACAACAAAAUAAAGUGGAUCAUGUGCUUCUACGCGUCAUUCUAGUCAAUUACAUAUAUAAAUCGUUUAAAAUGGAGUUAUGGUCUAAAUGAUAUGAGCAACACAAAAUGAUAUGUCACGAAUGCAAAUGACAGCCCCAACAUGUUAAAGCACGGUGAACAAGAUAUUAUGGAAGUACAUGAAAUCCUAGGCAAGUUUAAAUGAGGCCGGAACAACGAAUAAAAAUUUCAGAAAAUUCCCAUAUGCAAAUUAAGAUUCGGUACCGUUCUGCCUAUACACGAUUUUAGAGUUGUUAAACAACAAAAUAAGUGCUACCAUGUUAUUCUACACAUUUUUCUAAGCAAGUUACAUAUGUGGAUCAUUCUAAUCGAAGCACGGUUAGCUAGUUAUGAAAUAAAUCAUUUUAACAUGGCAUUUAAGGAAAUUAAAUUAAAAUAGCAAGUUGAACAUUUUAAACACAUGUGAGAGUUGGAUAUUGUAAAACUACACAAAAUUCUAAGAGGGUGCUUGGAUACGUUUUAGUCCCAUGACUAAAAGUAAUGAGACUAAAACUUGCUAGCCUCACCCAUGCUUGGAUCCAAAUACUAAAAAGACUAAAAUCAAGUUAAUGAGCAUUUAUUAUCCUUCAAACCCUCCAAUCCAGAACUUGCAUGAGGAGUUAAAUGAGAAGAGAGAGGACUAAUGCACAUUUUAGUAGGGGUACCCCUAACUAAAAGAUUUUAGCCUCAAGACUAGUUUUAGCCUCUCUUUAGUCAGGGGUGCUUGGAACUUUAGCGUCUUAAAGAGACUAGUUUUAGUCUCUUGGAUCCAAGCACCCUCUAAGCAUUUUUAUGUAUGAAGUUUUUAAAUCCGAUGCAUGGUUAUUUUCCUACGAACUAAAUCAUGUUUAAUAUGGCAUGACGCAAAUUAAUGCAAACAGCAGGGUAAACAACUUUAAACAUGCAUGAAAUUUGGAAUUCUUAAUCUACAUGAAAUUCUCGACAUUUUUCAUGUAUAAUUGUUUCAAUCCGAUGCAAGGAUAUUUAAUUAUGAGUAUGGAAAAAAAUGGCUUUUGCUGAAAUUAUGAGAUGCCCUUGAUAAAUGAAUAAAUUCACAGUGGGUAAAACAUGAUUGGGCGGAUUGCAGUUUAGUGCAGCAACCCACGUGUGGAAUCGGCCCAAGUGAUAAGUGAAUAAAGGCCACCAUGUUAUUCUACAGAUUUUUCUAGUGAAGUUGCAUAUAUGAAACAUUUUAAUCGAAGCUAUGGUUACUUAGUUAUAAAAUAAACCAUUUUAACAUGACAUCUACAUAAAUUACAUGCAAACAUCUGGUUAAACAAUUUUAACAUGCAUGAAAGUGGGAUAUUCUUCAUCUAUGCAAAAUUCUGGACAUUUUACAUGUUGAAAUCAUCAUGAUUCGAUGCACAGUUAUUUAAUUAUGAGUGUUUGAAAACGUGGUUAUUUCGGAAAUUUAGCAAUGGCCAUUUAAUUAACAAAUCGCCGGACACAAAAAAAAAGCUAAAUGGGCCGAAUAUGCUAAUGGGUCGAAAACAGAGCAUGAGCGUAACAUGUCAAGGCAACGCACAAAGCUCGGGAUAGCAGGCGAUGCUCACCGAACAGUUGGGCCAGUUUGAAGAAACGGCUAGGCGGAGGGGGCAGUUCUAGCCCACGUGAGUGACGGUGGGGUGAAGCAGAACCGAGCUGGCGGAUCUGGCGCUCGCUUGGGUUUGCGAGGCCACGGCACUGCAAGUCCCAUGCUAGGAAUUCCAUCAUGGGCCACGGUUGCUGCACGAGGCCUGCCCAUGCCGUGGACACAAGCAGGCACCCGCCAAGCGAGGGAGCUCUCGAUCCGAUCUAGCAAGCUGUUCCCAAAGCAAAGCAGGUCAGCAGUGAUCCGGCGCGAGGCUCUCUAAUGGCGGUGACAACAAAGGAAGGUGGAGAUGGCCGGGAAUGGGUGGAUCGGAGACUCCCCGACAUAGAUCUGGCCAGGAAACAAGACGGCGCGACAAGUUGGAGCUGCGGGAGGCCAUCCAUUGCGGCGUGGUUCCAGCGGGCAUGCAACGAGAGAGAGAGAGAGAGAGGUUAGAGGGGAGAGAGGUAGAGCGGGAGAAGGCGUCGGGGUGACCUGGUCGGUGGUGGAGGCAGCUCGCCACAGGGGCUGCAGCACGGACCGAUGCUAGAUGCGGCGCGGGGGCGAGCCUCAGGCAUGGGGCGGCUUCGGAUAACAGGGAGGCGAGGGCGUGUGGUAAUAACGCUUCGGGCCUGAUUCGGCUGGGACGGGCCGUAGCUGGCUACGGGUGGAGGUCUGGCUGUCUGCGGUGGGGCGCGACUGGCUAGCUGGCCCUCUAAACGUUUGAUCUGGCCGCUGACGACCGGGAUCGUGCCUCACGAGCCGACGUGGUGGCUCGACUAGGAGGUGACGGCGUAGUAGUGGCUCGGACGCGGAUUCAAGGCAAAGUGACUGCGGAUAGAGGUAGGGGAAGGGUUAGGCUAGGGUUUAGUG
rnacentral:lncRNA from 1 species